CCCUGAUCCAGCAGAACCCUCUUAUUAUUCUAACGAAAGUGCAUCAGUUACAUCAUCUCGGGACCCAACUCUAACUUACUUCAACACUUUUGGACCGCAUGUACUUCGCAAUUCGCACUGUAACAGAAGUUUGAAAAGGAGACAUUUUCCAUAUUCCCAAGAAAGAUCUGAAGAUGAAUUUAUCAAAUAAUUUAAAGAAGAGUCCAGAUUUUAAAUCAUCAAGCGGCUUUAGAAGAGAAUCUUAAGAAAAAUCUAGAGAAGAAAACAGACACAAUGCCAAAGAAUAAUCUGGAUGGAAUCUAAGGGAAACUAAAGAAGAAUUUUAAAUAUGGAGAAUUAUGGUGAUUUUUAUCAAGCUCGUUUGGCAGACCAAGCCUCCGACACAACCGAAUCGUUUCAUAAUUUGACAAUGUAAAAGCAAAAUAAUAUUUUGUAAUUAUAAACUAAAUGCGGCUGGUUUGAUUCAUCUAAUUUAUAAAGAAAAACUCUGUCACAGCUGAAACGCUCGAAACCAUAUUAUAUUGUUCACCACGUCACUAGGUCAAUAUAAUUUCACCAAAC